AAGGGCGAACCAACCACUUCUUCAGUGUGUGUGUGGGAAAGCUCUCAGCUUUCCACUGCCAAAUUACUCGGCACUUUCUCGCUUUCUCUUUUGAUCUCUUGCUAUAAUUCAACGUCUCAAGUCUCAGAAGUCUUCGCCAAUGAAGAAGUUAUCAUCAAUUUCUGAUUCUCUACAUCUCUUUUUUAAUAAUAUUCUUGGUACUAUUUCUGUAAUCCCAACAACUUUCUUUUUAAUAACUUUCUUCCUUAAUUGCCCAUGCAAAGCCCUUUGUACACAAGGCCACCACAACAUCUACUUUUCGUUAUCAUCAGUUGUUUCAUUCAUUGCUAAUCAUCUUUCUUACAUGACCGUCCUGCUUCUCUUUGUGUGAUCUUUUUUCGGGGGAAAGCUCAUUUCUUUUUUCUUCUCUCUUUCUUGAAACAAGAAAGUUUCUUUUCUUCUGUGACCCGCUGAUUGAUCCCCAGAAUUUAAUUUUUUCUGGGUUUUUUUUAAAGCCCCUGAAUUUUUUAUUGUUUGGGGCUUUUGGGUGCUGGGAUUUAUUUGAAAUUGUGUGGUAAUUGGGGUGAUAUGGGGCCUCCGAGUCAAGGUGAAAAUAGUAGGGAGAGUUCUAGUGGAAAGAAGAGGUUAAGUGGGGAAAGUGAUGGGGGAGAUUGGACGGGGAAGAAAGUUAGGAUCUUUGAUGGGAUUGAUGGAAAUCUGGAGGUUUUUCAUGGGAUUGAUACUGAGGAGGAGGAAAGAAAUGAGAAUCAGGCAAUGGGUUCUGGGGAAGAAAGGGGAGUUUCUUGCACUGAUGAAUUGUGUGGCUUUGAUCUUAACGUGGCGUUGAUCGAUUCAGAGGAUGAUGAAUUUGUACCUGAAGCUGUAAAUAGGAAGGUUGACAUUAUUUGCAUUCCAUCUGAUGAUAGUGAGGAUGAGGAGGGAAUAGGGAUUGUUGCACAUGACGUCAAAGGAAAGGGGAAGCUCAUUGUGGAAGAAACUAAUAAUGAGCUUCUUGAGAAUAUUGAUUUUGGAUUGGGACUAAUGGACAGGAGUUAUGAUGGAAAUAGUUAUGUGAGUGAUGGGCGGAGAUACACCAGGGAAGAGAAAGGGAAAGCUAAAAUUGUUGAUUCUUGGUUGUCACUUGCAACUAAUCCAACUCAGUUGGAGUUACAAACAAGAAGCCAGGAUUCAAUACAGUUUGAAUAUCAACCAGGAAGCCAGGAUUUGAAAAGGUUUAACCACCCAAGUGAGAAUGGUUACCAAGUGGAAGGCUCAGAGUCGAGCUCAGAAUUCGCGCGUAGAAAACAUGCAGAAUAUGAUAUUGAGAUGCAGAUACUGAGACACGGUGAACUCCGGAGAAAUGCUCAUAAAUUUGCACGGUGGGCGGAGAAUGGAGAUGUAUCUUCUAGUCAGGAAAAGCCUUCACUUGAAGAUCUACUGGGAAAAUCUCCUGGUCCUUUUUCUACCGCUCUGAUGAUGGUUAGAGACCGAACGUCCUGGCGAUCCAGGCAACUUAUUGAUUGGAAACCAUCUGACAAUGGCUGCAAUUCAUUUAGACCCGUUGUUCCUUCACUUCUGGAUCUUUCCCUGAAAGCUCUUGCAGCAAAAGCUGAGGCUAUAGUUUCACUUGAACUUGUUCCCGAUUUCCUCAGGCGAAAGCUCGCUGACUGUAUCUGUAAUCUCCGGAAAAUGGAUGUUCACACUUUUGAACUCUUUGUUAAAGGAUCUCCAACGGAGAUACGUAUAAAGGACUGUUCAUGGCUAACAGAUUGCCAUUUUUCAGAGGCAUUUGGAAAUUUUGAUGCUAAAAAUUUGAAGGUACUUGAACUUGAAUUAUGUGGGCAAUGUCCAUUUACUUUGGCUGGCUUGAGGUUCCCCAAACUAGGUGUCUUAUCAUUAAAGGGUGCAUGUCGUCUAUCCAACGAUGGGCUACAAGCAUUUGUCAACUCUGCACCUGAAUUAGAGUCUAUAAAUUUGAGCCACUGCUCCCUUCUUACCAAUGUUGGCAUCAAUUUCUUGGCCAAUUCUUUGGGAUCCAAGUUGAGGGAGCUGUAUAUUGAUGAGUGCCCGAAAAUAGAUGCAAUGCUUAUCCUACCUGCAUUGAGGAAGUUUGCAUACUUGGAGGUCUUGUCUGUUGCUGGAAUUCACACUGUGUCUGACCAAUUUGUUGACGCCGUAGUUAACACAUGUGGGCAAACUCUAAAGGAGCUUGAUUUGUCCAAUUGUCUGGGCUUGACCAAUGGUUCCCUCAGAGCCAUUGGAGAUACCUGUAGUGGUUUACAUUCAUUAAACAUUUCAAACCUAGAUAAACUGACAGAUCUUGCAUUACAAUUCCUUGCUGAUGGUUGUCAGCACAUUCAAACACUUAAACUUUGCCGCAACAAAUUCAGCGAUGAAGCAAUUGCGGCAUUCUUGGAAGCUUCUGGAGAGUCUUUGAAGGAACUAUGUCUCAAUAGUGUUACUUCGUUUCAGGGCAUAUUCUUGUGUAUAUUUCCCAAAGCAACAUGUUGGACAAUAAAAUGGGGAGAGACAACACUUGCUUAGGACUGCUGGAUUCUAGUCAUUACAUAUUACUGAAGUGUUAUUGAUUUACCACUGAAAGACAAAAGUUGAUUAGCAAUAUGCAUUCUGUAGAGUUGAUUAAGGUGCUGCUUUACAUGGUCCAUUGAUAGAAAUGAAAUACAAAAAUGUGGGAAUUACACUGUGCUGUCAAGUGAAUAUGUUAUUUUAGGUUUUUUGGAAACACGCAAUUCGUGUUAGUAGAGAAAGUUCUCUUUUCUUGAUUUUACUUUUUGUUUGUUUACCUUUUUUCUCGGCCUAUUGUCUUUAGUUAAAACAACUGAGCCAUGAUGCUUGGUAGGUUGGCCCUUGCACUGCCUUUUCGCUCGCCAAAUGUUCAAGAAAGUUGUUGGUAUUGGAUUUGUCAUGGUGUCGCAAAUUAACGGAUAAGGCACUGGGAUUGAUUGUUGACAGCUGCCUGUCACUGAAGUUGGUCAAACUCUUUGGUUGUACACAGAUCACAAAAUCUUUUGUAAAUGGGCACUCAAACACACAAGUGCAGAUUAUCGGGUUGCAGUUGACACCAAUACUGGAAAAUGCAACUGUUUG